CCUACGGGGUGCUGCAGUGAGGAAUAUUGGUCAAUGGGCGCGAGCCUGAACCAGCCAAGUAGCGUGAAGGAUGACUGCCCUACGGGUUGUAAACUUCUUUUAUAAAGGAAUAAAGUGAGGCACGUGUGCCUUGUUGUAUGUACUUUAUGAAUAAGGAUCGGCUAACUCCGUGCCAGCAGCCGCGGUAAUACGGAGGAUCCGAGCGUUAUCCGGAUUUAUUGGGUUUAAAGGGAGCGUAGAGGGGUUGUUAAGUCAGUGGUGAAAGUUUGCGGCUCAACCGUAAAAUUGCAAUUGAUACUGGCAGUCUUGAGUACAGUUGCGGUAGGCGGCAUUCGUGGUGUAUCGGU
rnacentral:rRNA from 1 species